rnacentral:rRNA from 1 species
CCACAACGGUGGAGCCUGCGGUUUAAUUGGACUCAACGCCGGGCAGCUCACCGGAUAAGACAGCUGGAUGAUAGCCGGGCUGAAGACUCUGCUUGACUAGCUGAGAGGAGGUGCAUGGCCGUCGUCAGUUCGUACUGUGAAGCAUCCUGUUAAGUCAGGCAACGAGCGAGACCCACGCCAACAGUUGCCAGCAUGUCCUCUGGGAUGAUGGGGACACCUGUUGGGACCGCCUCUGCUAAAGAGGAGGAAGGAAUGGGCAACGGUAGGUCAGCAUGCCCCGAAUUAUCCGGGCUACACGCGGGCUACAAUGGUCAGGACAAUGGGUAUCGACACCGAGAGGUGGAGGCAAUCUCCUAAACCUGUCCUUAGUUCGGAUUGUGGGCUGCAACUCGCCCACAUGAAGCUGGAAUCCGUAGUAAUCGCGUUUCAAAAUAGCGCGGUGAAUAUGUCCCUGCUCCUU